CGACCGGCGCACGGGUGAGUAACGCGUAUCCAACCUGCCCUUUACUAUGGGACAGCCCGUCGAAAGGCGGAUUAAUACCGUAUGUUGUCAUGUUGAUGCAUAUUUUCAUGACCAAAGGCUUCGGCCGGUAAAGGAUGGGGAUGCGUCUGAUUAGCUUGCCGGCGGGGUAACGGCCCACCGGGGCGACGAUCAGUAGGGGUUCUGAGAGGAAGGUCCUCCACAUUGGAACUGAGACACGGUCCAAACUCCUACGGAAGGCAGCAG
rnacentral:rRNA from 1 species